GACGAACGCUGGCGGCGUGCCUAAUACAUGCAAGUCGAGCGCAGGAAGCCGUCUGAACCCUUCGGGGGGACGACGGUGGAAUGAGCGGCGGACGGGUGAGUAACACGUAAAGAACCUGCCCAUAGGUCUGGGAUAACCACGAGAAAUCGGGGCUAAUACCGGAUGUGUCAUCGGACCGCAUGGUCCGCUGAUGAAAGGCGCUCCGGCGUCGCCCAUGGAUGGCUUUGCGGUGCAUUAGCUAGUUGGUGGGGUAACGGCCCACCAAGGCGACGAUGCAUAGCCGACCUGAGAGGGGGAUCGGCCACACUGGGACUGAGACACGGCCCAGACUCCUACGGGAGGCAGCAGUAGGGAAUCUUCCACAAUGGACGAAAGUCUGAUGGAGCAAUGCCGCGUGAACGAUGAAGGCUUUCGGGUCGUAAAGUUCUGUUGUAAGGGAAGAACAAGUGCCGCAGGCAAUGGCGGCACCUUGACGGUACCUUGCGAGAAAGCCACGGCUAACUACGUGCCAGCCGCCGCCGUAACAC
rnacentral:rRNA from 1 species